CUAGAAAAUCGCUCAUAAAUUGUCAAAUUCAUCUCAAAACAACUCUUCAGAAACUCCAGUUUGAAGUCUUUGUAGAUUAAGAGAUGUUUCAUCAUAAUUUGGGUUUGCUGAUUUAUCGAGGUCCUUAGUCAAUCAGUGUAUUUUGGUGAUUUUUGCUCAACAAGGUCCUCUCCUCUUCCUUUUUGAUUUUUAUAUGUGAUAAUAAUGCUUGUGAAUAUCACAGUUAUGUGGGUCCUAGAUUUUGAAUUUUAGUAUAGUUUGUUAUGAGUCUUAACAUAAUUAGGGUCAAUGAAUGAAAUAUGUACUUUAGGACAUGUUAAAAUUAUUGCUACUACCUGGAUUUUCAUUACUAUAAUAUAUGUGGCUGUCUACUCUCACUCAUCUCUGUUUUGAACUUGGAUAAGUGGGCGUUUUCUCAAGCAUUUUUGUCUUGAGCCUCUGAAGUGGAUUUAGAUGGUUAUGCCUACUAACUUUUUGAAUCUUUUUCUCAUAUUUGCUUUCUUUCAGAUGGUAGUUUGUCAACCUUCUACACUUGCAAAAGGAUCUAUAAUCGACAAUGCGAGUAUCGAGGGAAGGAGCUGAACAUUUAUAGAAUGCCCAAGAGAUUUUAGUCUACAAUUAAGUGAUGGUUAUGUGCUGGUGAUUGUUUCAUUACUAACAAAGCAUGACAAAAAACUAGGGUUAUUAUGUUUUGAGCCCAAUCCCUUUCUUUUGAAGUUUGAAAUAUGUUUAUUGUCAUGGGAAUUUUGUAUUUUAAGUCUGUUAUUAUGGGAAAUAUACCGGUAAAUCUAUAUUACUAUUGGAAAAUUGAAGAAUAAUGUACUAGGAUUAUAAGAGCUAGAUGAGAAUGUAAUAACCUAUUAAUUAAGUGAGUCUA